UUCCCCUCUCUCUCUCUCUCUCUCUCUCAAAUCCCUCAUUUGCCCAACUCACCUCUGAUGGACCCACCACCACCUCCUCAACCUCCACCGGCUCCAUCUCUCUCAGCUGCUGCAACCACCACCGCCACAGCCACCGCCGCCGCUGCGACCACCACCUUACCCUCUCACCUCACCCCCACCAACUCCACACCCGCCACCUACCCAGACUCCAUCGAUUCCUCUCCUCGCUCUCGCACCACUGAUUCUUACUUGGAUGACCCGCCUCCUCUGUCCUCCAAGCUCCGCCUUAUGUGCUCCUAUGGUGGCCAUAUCGUUCCUCGCCCGCAUGACAAGUCCUUGUGCUAUGUCGGCGGCGAUACUCGUAUUGUCGUUGUUGACCGCCACACGACUCUCUCUUCUCUCUCAACACGUCUUUCAAAUACUCUGCUUAAUGGCCGCCCUUUUACUCUCAAGUAUCAGCUUCCGAGCGAAGACUUGGAUUCUCUUAUUUCUGUCACUACUGAUGAGGAUUUAGAUAAUAUGAUCGAUGAGUAUGACCGUACUAAUAGUAACGCUGCUAAUGCUGCGAAACCCUCGCGACUGCGUUUGUUUCUGUUUCCGUUGAAGCCGGAUUCUUCACAGUCAAUUGGACCGAUUCUGGAAAGCAGUGCUAAAUCUGAAGACUGGUUCUUAAAUGCGUUGAAUGGAGCUACUGGUUUGUUGAAUAGAGGGUUUUCUGAUUCUGCUUCGGUCAAUUGCUUGUUGGGUCUGGAUGAUGAUGGUCUAAAUGGGAAUAAUAAUCUCGAUUUAGUUGGUGGUGGCGGUAGAGAUGUGGAGGGGUCGCAGAAAAAUGCCAAGCAAGGUCAAGAUGUCCAUUCCGUACCGGAUUCUCCGAUGUUGGAGACGUCGUCUUCUUUUGGGUCUACUUCUUCUUCACCUUCACUUGCGAAUUUGCCUCCCAUAAGAGUUCAUGUGGAGGAUGGUGGUGGGGUUAGAGGGGUUAUGCAGGAUCAGAAAGUGGUGGGUAUCGAGGAACAGUUUGCACAAAUUAAUGUUGGUGGUGGGGGUAGUGGUGUUGUUGGGCAAAAGCAAGAUGAGGGUUUUGUGGUUAUGUCAUCGCCGCCUCCGAUGCCAAUUUCUAUUGCUAUAUCGGGUGUGCCGGUGGGCCCUCCGGUAGUAGUUGGUGAUUACCAGAAUCGGGUUUUCUCUGAUGAUGAGAGAUCGGACCAUGGCGUUCCAGUUGGUUAUAGAAAGCCACGGCCACCUCAAACACAGCCG
rnacentral:lncRNA from 1 species